rnacentral:lncRNA from 1 species
GCGUCCACGUAACAGACAUCGGCGUCGGAUACAUAUCCACCAUGCUCUCCCUGUCCGCUCUGUUCCUCCGCUGGUGCUCCCAAGUCAGAGAUUUUGGCGUCCAGCAUCUCUGCUCCAUGAGAAAUAUUCAAGUUCUUUCGCUGGCAGGCUGUUCCCUGGUGACCUCUGCUGGCCUCUCAACCCUCGUCCAGCUGCGACACUUACAGGAGCUUGAGCUUACCAACUGUCCUGGAGCAACACCAGAGCUCCACCAUCACCUUCACCUCCAUCUACCCAAGUGCCUCAUUAUUGAGUAGCAAAAGAAGAAAAUGAUAAUAAUUAAUAAUAAUAAUAUUAAUAAUAAUAAUAAUAAAACAACAGUACUACCCAGCAUACAAAAAAAACGGGUCUAUAUGAAGCGAUCAGGAAUAGAAAACAAAAGAAAUACCCUCUACUCUUCUUAGACUAAUAGGUGUGACAUGUUUCCAUAUUGUAUUGGAGUUACAGUGCAUUCAAUAUUCUGUGGUGUCGUUUAUGUGCAUUUCCUUGGGAAAUAGAUGUUCUCCAUGCACGUGUACAUUGGCAUUAUGAAAUAUAAUCCGUUAAUCAAAGAGACACAAACCUAAAAGUGCAGUGUCUAAGUGUCUAACCUGUACGUUACCAUAGGCCAUGAUGGAAAUAUGGUGAUAUAUAUAUUACAUGAUAACUAGGUGGAUUGAGAACACUGUUAAGGUUAUUGUGAUGAAAAUGAUUAGGAAAACCUCUAUGUACAAUUCAUUGUGACAAAUUAUCUGAAUAAGUGUUUGUUUUUUCAUAGAAAGGAUACAAUUUUUUCUACCAGUAAUGGUAUACUUAAUUAAAUCUGAUUAAACAAACUAAAAGUGGGAUGACUGUAGCUGAAUGUAGAGUAUGUGAGGUUGAAGUAUUUCUGUAGUUUUCAGCUCUUAAGACAAAACUAUAAACUAUUGCUGUAUGUACUUGAUUUAUGUCUUUCAUUGAUGUGACACACUUUUACUGCUCAUAAUGAACCAAACAAGAAAAUGAAAGGGACGAUUUUAAUCUGAAUCUGAAUACGUCUGCUACUGAAACAUUAUACACUGAAACGACUCCGAGAUGUCCUCAAGGGCCAUGACAUAGAUAAAGAGUUUUACAGAUAAUAUAAUAAACUUAAUGUCAAGCGUGUCUACCAUGCAGAAUGGGCUUUGAUGUGGGGCAUAGAUUGUACCAGUGUGGGCAGCAUACUUAUGCAGUGCAUUUUCCUCACCACCCAUUGUAACGGAAGAAUCAUUAACACUUCUUUAGCCCUUCACUGCAUGACCGUAUUUUUAUUUUCGAUUAAUUAAGAUUCUGAUUUAAAAAAAAAUAUUUCUAAUAAAACAGGAAUUUCUAUUUUAAGAUUUAAUUAGUAUAAAAAUAAAGAAAAUAUUCCUUUUAUCAUAUGUGAUACAAAAGGUAAUAAAAAAAGGCUAUCAGGUGGCAUGGAAGGUAAUGAAUCUUUUUUCUUUCUAAAAAUCAAAGUCAACUUUUUUUAACAAUAAGUAUUUUUUUAGAAAUUAGACAUUUUGCAAAGCUGGUACGGUUAUUUCAAUUCUGAUCAUCUUGCAAUCAUGUCCAUUCGCACAUCUUUUACUGAAAUAUGAACAUAAGCAUUUCCCCUUUUCUCUCUCUUUCUCUUUCUCUCUCUUUCUCUCUCGUAACUCCUCCAAAUUUGCAGACUUUUAGCGAUUUCUCGUAAAUCUGUUAAUAUUAUUGUGUUUCUGUACAUUAGCAAUAUAUUAAAAAUUCUGUACAACCAUAAAUUAACAAUUGCUAUGUCUAGCAAGUGGUGGAACAGCCUCAAUAUUCCCUAAUUUAGAUCUCAUUUCACUUCUCUGCCUCCUGGAUAACGACUCUGUGGAUGAAACCUCCAGUUCAUUGAACGAGGUUCGUUUCGGCAAAUGUAGAAAAAUAUAUAUAUAUAUAUAAAUGAGACUGAAUAAUAUGACAUCGCAAGAUAUGUAUCUGACGCAUUUCGAAUUAUGUCAUGUAUUUCUGAUUAACAUAUAAUUCGAAACCUAUCAAAUACAUCUCCUACGCAAUAAAGGUUAGCCUCAUUCAAUUAUUUGUUCUAGUUCUGUUCAUUACAGGUAGAAGAGCCCCAGGUGUUUUGGUGGUUAUCUGAUGGCAAGUCCAAAGUUGACAUUUAAAAUACGAUAUGAUGCCAGUAUUGUUGGAUCUUAAUAACGCAAAGGCAUUAGAUAUCUCUAAUCAAAGAAAGACUGUUUACUUACGUUUAUUGUCUAUGCGCGAAGGAAGCUUUACCAUAUUCACUAUCUUGAAAGGAACGCUAGUAUACCGUAAAUUACUUAUAUUCAUCGCCCGUAAGCUAGGAAAUGUGCGGUUCAAUGGCUUCUGCAAAUUAUAUUUCCAAAAGAUAUAGAUAUAAGAGGACGAGAUGCUCUAAAUUAUCAUGUGUUGUUUACUUUGAUUUAGUUGCAUACAUAAAAAAAACAUUUUCACUACAAGUAAUUAUUAAAUGUCCACUUCACAUUUUGUAACAUAUAAAAUAAAACAAAAUAAAUAAACCUAUCUUUUAGCAGACUACAAAAUUACUAUAAAAUUUGUGGACGUGGUUUUCUUUGACACAUUUUUUUUUUUCUUCUUCUUACCAUGUCAGAGCAGAGAAUUAUACAAAAAAAGGAAUAUGAGUCACAUUUCCGGCCCCUGGUUUCUUGUCAGAAAGUAAACAAACCGCAGCGCCAUCAGUGGCUACCAAACUAACUAAAUUUGUACAGGAGUGUAUCAUUUCCCUGACAGCGUGUAAUACGAAUGGUCUCCACUUGUCAAAUAUAAGAUAUGAGAAAGUAGUUGUAUUAUAUCAGAUACGCGAUGCAGUGAAGGGUUAAGGCGUACUGCUCAUUUCAUAAUUCAUAUUGUUUUACCAUGUGAAUAGCACAGAGAGCAAUAACAUAUAUUUGAUGAUUUGACAAUACUGUACUAUGAAACAGUCAUAUGACGUAUGCUCUUUUUUUUCUGGUAACUGACAGCCUGAAACUGGUUAUGCACAAUGAUUAUUAUUCAGUGCAGUGUACAUUUCUGUCUCUCUUUUUUGUCUGUGCAUAAAUAGGUGCUUGAUUAAGAUUUUGCUUUAGUUACAAUACAAUAUUUGGAAUGAAAACGGAGUUUAUAUCUUCAGUAAACAACUGCAUCAGGACUUACUGUAGAAAUACGAAAAUACUGUGGGUAUUUAUCAUGAAGUAGUCAAGCUUUGUACCUAUAUGUCACCAAAUAGAGUUUGAACUGUGUGGUUGCAUUUUGAAUAUACACUGUAGGUUUUGCAAUGUUUCUUUUGAAGUCUUUAGGCUUGACAUAUAACUGGUUGACACUGGUUUAUUGAACACAUACACAUACACACAUAUAUUAUAUGCUGGAGAGAGAGAAAAAAAACAACAACAGAAAAUGCAUAUAAAGACACAUUUUGUUUAUAUUUGGUAGUGACUCUACUGAAGGUUCCUCUAUUCAUUCUUAAUGAUGUAUCAUUGUAAUUUGAAUUCAGUGGAUUCCCCUAAUUAGUAAAUUAUUUCACAGGACUAUUCCCUGGUUCAAACUGGUUCAGAUGACAUUUGAUAUAGCUUCCAAUUUACUGUAUAUGAAGCUCAGCAAAUAAAAAGGGUUUAGAGUUUAUAUUGAGAAAAAAAAAUGUCCAUGCAUGAGUUUUUUUUAUAUAUAUAUCAAGUAAAUUAUACAAACAUUCCACUAUUAUCCAUUACCAAGUGGUCAGCCAUUUAAAUGUAGCUUUUUAGUCAGUGGAGAUUUAUCAAUGCAUGUUGCAUUACUCUAUAUUGUCGCCCAGGGUGACAACCAGGCAUGAUAACUUGCAACCUACUCGACCUGUUCAUUGCUGUCACAGAGGCAGGGUAAAUAAUAACCUUCAUUUCUGCUUGCCAUAGACAUCGUAAGAGAAAUAAUGGCUGCAUUUUUUUUUUUUUUUUUUUUACAUAUUUUUCUUUUCGAUCCUUGCCGUAUCUGACCAAAAAGACUUACACUUUAGCAUUGAGAUACAGGAGGGGAUCAAUACCAAAGCUACUAGAACAAUACUCUUUGGAAUCUUGUCGUAAACGCGUUUAGGGUUUUUCCAUAUGUUUUGGAUAUUUCUUCUUUACUAACAUUUAUCAGGCUGUAUAGAAUGUGCAUCCCUCACACGAUAUAUCAAUAGGCAUGUUUUAUAUUGCCACUCUAUAAAAUGCUGGCAUCCCCGAAUUUGAAUUAAGGGACAAUAGAAGUUUGGCUAUUAUGUACCAUAACUUUAUUCCCUUUGCUGUCCUCGUAAAACAAAAAAGAAAAAAAUAUGCCUUCUGUCUGAGUAAGUUGAUUCAAAAUAGUUUUUUUUUUCUUUACGUGAUCUUCCCAAUUAUAACCUGACAUUUCUCUGACCACAAUCUGUAGAAAAAAAAUAGAAAGAUUUACAUUAUGGGAACAUACUGAAUAAAACCAAAGCCAGGACCUACUUAAACACAAGAUUUGCUUACUACUAAGGUUUAUAGAUAACAUACCCAGUGUUGUGUAUAUGGCGAAAACUGGAUUUGUAGCCAAUGCAUUACCUCUUAGUCCUGUGUAAUUGGAGACCACUCCUUAUCUUUUUUCUUUCUCUUUUUUUUAAAUAGUUUUAGUUACAGUUACCAGCAGGUCUGGGUUUAGAAUUUAAAAUAAAUAAAUAAAUAUGAAUAAAUAAAAUAAAACCAAAAAAAAAUGAACAAAAAAAAUAAUAAUAAUGAUUAAGAGACAACCAAAAAGUUGAUAGAAUGGAUUAAGAAUGAGGAUAUUGAUACAGUUUUAAGAUUAGCAUUAGGUUCUUAUGGUAUGGUGGAAUUAUAGUUAGAAGAAAGAACACACCAUUCGCAGCUCAUAAGAAAGUACAGUACUAGGACUGUAACCGCAGCCUCUCCUUAGGAGCUUUAAGCAUUAAGAAAAUCAAUAGUUACAGUACUCAUUCUAGCAGUCAAGAAUGACUAAUGUGCUUGACUAAAGAAGCAUUUGUUGUCAUAGUUUCUAGGCUGUUCUGCCAACUACUAAAAUGCGACUCAACCCUCCGAAGUCAUCAUUCUUGGGAACAUCUUUUAAUAAAGAUUAUAAAGAUUAUAAAUAUUCAUUGUAGUUCAAACAUUAUAUAGCGAUGGGGAAAAAAACGAAAUAAAAAAUAAGGCCUAAAAUCAGAAACAUUUGGGUUAUGAUUAUGAAGUAACUUGCAAUAUGGCAUGUGACAGCUAUGCUAUUAUUACUGCUCUGAAUUAAUGCACAAAACAGACAGACACAUACCAUUUGGUUAAUUUUGAUUGAUCGAUAACUCAUGGCUCACGUGAAUCUAGUGAUUAUAAUAGAUGAUUUUGUAAGAUAGCAGUCUAUAUUACCACAUCGAAAUGAGUUAUUAGUUUGACCCCUUUUAUAAUUCGAGAUUCUGAAAAUAGAAUGUGUUGGUAUGAAUAGAGUCACCUCUAAGACAAUAUGUAUUUUCUCUCCUUAGAUUCUAUAUUUCAAAGUUCUUUGAGUAAAUGCUUUAUUAUAGUUAAAGAAAACAGCAACAUGGAAAUGUGUUAAUAUUUCUUUAGAUUGUUAUAUACGUAAUCAAGUGUCGAAAUGAUAACAAGGUAUACUACAGGUUUUCAUUGUCAAUUUAAGCAAUGGUCAUAUACCGGUGAUAUUUUAUUAUCUUUUUUGCACAAGAAGGAAGUUAAUCACACUCAUAGUGAGAGAAAAGAAAAAAUAUUAGAAAAGCUGCUUACCAUCUCUUAAGAAAUAUGAUGCUUAAUUGAGUAGAAUAAGACGUUCUAGGUAAAAUAUAUAGUUAUACCUUAAAAAAAAAAAAAGCUGUCCACGUUUUUUAUUAUUUUUUUCAUUAUCAUCAUUGCUCUUAUUAUGAU